GGGCGGUUAGCUCAGUGGGAGAGCGUCGGCUUUACAAGCCGAAGGUCGCAGGUUCGAUCCCUGCACCGCCCACCA
rnacentral:tRNA from 2 species